rnacentral:rRNA from 1 species
UACGGGGGGGUGCGAGCGUUGUCCGGAAUCACUGGGCGUAAAGGGCGCGUAGGUGGCGUGAUAAGGGUGUGGUGAAAGCCCGGGGCUCAACCCCGGGUCUGCCAUGCCGACUGUCAGGCUGGAGUACUGUAGGGGCAGGCGGAAUUCCGGGUGUAGCGGUGGAAUGCGUAGAGAUCCGGAGGAACACCAGUGGCGAAGGCGACACGCUGGGCCGUACCUGACACUAAAACGCGACAGCAUGGGGAGCGAACGGG